GACGAACGCUGGCGGCGUGCCUAAUACAUGCAAGUUGAGCGCUGAAGGUUGGUACUUGUACCAACUGGAUGAGCAGCGAACGGGUGAGUAACGCGUGGGGAAUCUGCCUUUGAGCGGGGGACAACAUUUGGAAACGAAUGCUAAUACCGCAUAAAAACUUUAAACACAAGUUUUAAGUUUGAAAGAUGCAAUUGCAUCACUCAAAGAUGAUCCCGCGUUGUAUCAGCUAGUUGGUGAGGUAAAGGCUCACCAAGGCGAUGAUACAUAGCCGACCUGAGAGGGUGAUCGGCCACAUUGGGACUGAGACACGGCCCAAACUCCUACGGGAGGCAGCAGUAGGGAAUCUUCGGCAAUGGACGAAAGUCUGACCGAGCAACGCCGCGUGAGUGAAGUAGGUUUUCGGAUCGUAAAACUCUGUUGGUAGAGAAGAACGUUGGUGAGAGUGGAAAGCUCAUCAAGUGACGGUAACUACCCAGAAAGGGACGGCUAACUACGUG
rnacentral:rRNA from 1 species